UACGAAGGGGGGCUAGCGUUGCUCGGAAUCACUGGGCGUAAAGGGUGCGUAGGCGGGUCUUUUAAGUCAGGGGUGAAAUCCUGGAGCUCAACUCCAGAACUGCCUUUGAUACUGAGGAUCUUGAGUCCGGGAGAGGUGAGUGGAACUGCGAGUGUAGAGGUGAAAUUCGUAGAUAUUCGCAAGAACACCAGUGGCGAAGGCGGCUCACUGGCCCGGUACUGACGCUGAGGCACGAAAAGCGUGGGGGAGCAAACAGG
rnacentral:rRNA from 1 species